rnacentral:rRNA from 1 species
CCGGUGAAGUGUUCGGAUUGCGUCGACGUGGGCGGUUCGCUGCCCGCGACGUUGUGAGAAGUCCACUGAACCUUAUCAUUUAGAGGAAGGAGAAGUCGUAACAAGGUUUCCGUAGGUGAACCUUGCGGAAGGAUCAUUUG